AGCAGCCGCGGUAAUUCCAGCUCCAAUAGCGUAUAUUAAAGUUGCUGCAGUUAAAAAGCUCGUAGUUGAAUUUCGGGACCAUCAUGUCGGUCGUGCCUCGGUACGUACUGGCAUUGUUGGUUUCUCCCUUCUGACGAACCAUGAUGUCAUUUAUUUGGUGUUGUGGGGAAUCAGGACUGUUACUUUGAAAAAUUAGAGUGUUUAAAGCAGGCUCACGCUUGAAUACAUUAGCAUGGAAUAAUGAAAUAGGACGUUUGAUUCUAUUUUGUUGGUUUCUAGGAUCGACGUAAUGAUUAAUAGGGAUAGUUGGGGGCAUUAGUAUUCAAUUGUCAGAGGUGAAAUUCUUGGAUUUAUUGAAGACUAACUACUGCGAAAGCAUUUGCCAAGGAUGUUUUCAUUAAUCAAGAACGAAAGUUAGGGGAUCGAAGACGAUCAGAUACCGUCGUAGUCUUAACCAUAAACUAUGCCGACUAGGGAUCGGAUGAUGUUAAUUUUUAUGA
rnacentral:rRNA from 1 species